rnacentral:rRNA from 1 species
CCCUUAGAUGUUCUGGGCCGCACGCGCGCUACACUGAUGCAUUCAACGAGUUUCUUCCUGGUCCGAGAGGAAUGGGUAACCUUUUGAAAGUGCAUCGUGAUAGGGAUAGACUAUUGCAAUUAUUGGUCUUCAACGAGGAAUUCCUAGUAGACGUAGUUCAUCAGACUGCAUCGAUUACGUCCCUGCCCUUUGUACACACCGCCCGUCGCUUCUACCGAUUGAAUGCUCAGGUGAGCCAUUCGGACUUUCAUCAUGCUGGUUUCCAGUUUUGAUGAAGGAAAGUCUUGCGAACCUUAUCAUUUAGAGGAAGGAGAAGUCGUAACA